rnacentral:rRNA from 1 species
UACGUAGGGGGCGAGCGUUGUCCGGAUUUAUUGGGCGUAAAGAGCGUGUAGGCGGCCAGGUAGGUCUGCUGUGAAAACUCGAGGCUCAACCUCGAGACGUCCGGCGGAAACCAUCUGGCUAGAGUCCGGAAGAGGAGAGUGGAAUUCCUGGUGUAGCGGUGAAAUGCGCAGAUAUCAGGAAGAACACCCGUGGCGGAAGGCGGCUCUCUGGGACGGUACUGACGCUGAGACGCGAAAGCGUGGGGAGCGAACAGG